rnacentral:rRNA from 1 species
GUUAUAGGGUCAAGCGAACAAGUGCAUGUGGUGGAUGCCUUGGCGAUCACAGGCGAUGAAGGACGCGGUAGCCUGCGAAAAGCUACGGGGAGCUGGCAAACGAGCUUUGAUCCGUAGAUGUCCGAAUGGGGAAACCCACUCCUUUUGGAGUAUCCAUGGCUGAAUACAUAGGCCAUGCGAAGCGAACGCGGUGAACUGAAACAUCUAAGUAACCGCAGGAAAAGAAAUCAACCGAGAUUCCCAAAGUAGUGGCGAGCGAAAUGGGAUGAGCCUUGCACUCUUUAUUUGUAUUGUUAGCCGAACGCUCUGGAAAGUGCGGCCAUAGCAGGUGAUAGCCCUGUAGGCGAAAACAGUAUGAAAGAACUAGGUGUGCGACAAGUAGGGCGGGACACGUGAAAUCCUGUCUGAAGAUGGGGGGACCAUCCUCCAAGGCUAAAUACUCGUGAUCGACCGAUAGUGAACCAGUACCGUGAGGGAAAGGCGAAAAGAACCCCGGGAGGGGAGUGAAAUAGAUCCUGAAACCGCAUGCAUACAAACAGUCGGAGCCUCGUAAGGGGUGACGGCGUACCUUUUGUAUAAUGGGUCAGCGACUUACGUUCAGUAGCAAGCUUAACCGUAUAGGGCAGGCGUAGCGAAAGCGAGUCCGAAUAGGGCGUUCAGUUGCUGGGCGUAGACCCGAAACCAGGUGAUCUAUCCAUGGCCAGGAUGAAGGUGCGGUAACACGUACUGGAGGUCCGAACCCACUAACGUUUGAAAAGUUAGGGGAUGAGCUGUGGAUAGGGGUGAAAGGCUAAACAACCUGGAAAUAGCUGGUUCUCUCCGAAAACUAUUUAGGUAGUGCCUCGUGUCUCACCUUCGGGGUAGAGCACUGUCAUGGUUGGGGGGUCUAUUGCAGAUUACCCCGCCAUAGCAAACUCCGAAUACCGAAGAGUGCAAUCACGGGAGACAGACAUCGGUGCUAACGUCCGGUGUCAAGAGGGAAACAACCCAGACCGCCAGCUAAGGUCCCCAAAUAUAGCUAAGUGGGAAACGAAGUGGGAAGGCUAAAACAGUCAGGAGGUUGGCUUAGAAGCAGCCACCCUUUAAAGAAAGCGUAAUAGCUCACUGAUCGAGUCGUCCUGCGCGGAAGAUGUAACGGGCUAAGCUAUAUACCGAAGCUGCGGAUGCGUGCUUGCACGCAUGGUAGGAGAGCGUUCCGUAAGCCUGCGAAGGUGCCUUGUAAAGGGUGCUGGAGGUAUCGGAAGUGCGAAUGCUGACAUGAGUAGCGAUAAAGGGGGUGAAAGGCCCCCUCGCCGUAAGCCCAAGGUUUCCUACGCAACGUUCAUCGGCGUAGGGUGAGUCGGCCCCUAAGGCGAGGCAGAAAUGCGUAGCUGAUGGGAAGCAGGUCAAUAUUCCUGCACCAUUGUUAGAUGCGAUGGGGGACGGAUCGCGGAAGGUUGUCCGGGUGUUGGAAGUCCGGUCGCUGCAUUGGAGAAGGCGCUUAGGCAAAUCCGGGCGCGUAAUUCAAGGUGUGGGCGCGAGCUCCUUAGGGAGCGAAGCAAUUGGAAGUGGUUCCAAGAAAAGCCUCUAAGCUUCAGUCUAACGAUGACCGUACCGCAAACCGACACAGGUGGCGAGAUGAGUAUUCUAAGGCGCUUGAGAGAACUCGGAGAAGGAACUCGGCAAAUUGGUACCGUAACUUCGGAUAAGGUACGCCCUUGUAGCUUGACCAGCCUGCGCUGGAAGGGUGAAGGGUUUGCAAUAAACUGGUGGCUG